rnacentral:ncRNA from 2 species
UGAAUUCGUUGGGGGUGCCCGCGGCAAUGGUGCGCGCGGGCUGAGACAGUCCCUUUGAACCUGACCCGGGUCAUGCCGGCGUAGGGAAACGCAUUCAUGAACAU